rnacentral:rRNA from 1 species
AUUGAACGCUGGCGGCAGGCCUAACACAUGCAAGUCGAACGAGUGGCGGACGGGUGAGUAAUGUCUGGGAAACUGCCCGAUGGAGGGGGAUAACUACUGGAAACGGUAGCUAAUACCGCAUACUAUCGGAUGUGCCCAGAUGGGAUUAGCUAGUAGGUGGGGUAACGGCUCACCUAGGCGACGAUCCGUAGCUGGUCUGAGAGGAUGACCAGCCACACUGGAACUGAGACACGGUCCAGACUCCUACGGGAGGCAGCAGUGGGGAAUAUUGCACAAUGGGCGCAAGCCUGAUGCAGCCAUGCCGCGUGUAUGAAGAAGGCCUUCGGGUUGUAAAGUACUUUCGGCGGGGAAGCGUUACCCGCAGAAGAAGCACCGGCUAACUACGUGCCAGCAGCCGCGGUAAUAC